rnacentral:rRNA from 1 species
AGAACGAACGCUGGCGGUAGGCCUAACACAUGCAAGUCGAACGCUCUAGCAAUAGAGAGUGGCAGACGGGUGAGUAACGCGUGGGAACCUUCCUUAUAGUAAAGAAUAGCCCAGGGAAACUUGGAUUAAUACUUUAUACGCCCUACGGGGGAAAGAUUUAUCGCUAUAAGAUGGGCCCGCGUAAGAUUAGCUAGUUGGUGAGGUAAUGGCUCACCAAGGCUACGAUCUUUAGCUGGUUUGAGAGAAUGAUCAGCCACACUGGGACUGAGACACGGCCCAGACUCCUACGGGAGGCAGCAGUGGGGAAUCUUGCACAAUGGGCGAAAGCCUGAUGCAGCGACGCCGCGUGAGGGAAGAAGGCUUUCGGGUUGUAAACCUCUUUCAGGAGGGACGAAGCUACUCGGGUUAAUAGCCCAGAGGGUGACGGUACUUCCAGAAGAAGCCCCGGCUAACUACGUGCCAGCAGCCGC